rnacentral:rRNA from 1 species
GUGCCUAACACAUGCAAGUCGAACGCGAAAGUCCCGCAAGGGAUCAGUAGAGUGGCAAACGGGUGAGUAACACGUGGGUGACCUGCCUUCGAGCGGGGGAUAACGUCCCGAAAGGGACGCUAAUACCGCAUAACAUCCUGCCUUUGAAGAGGUGGAAAUCAAAGCUAGGGAUCGUAAGACCUAGCACUCGAAGAGGGGCCCGCGCCUGAUUAGCUAGUUGGUGAGGUAAUGGCUCACCGAGGCAACGAUCAGUAUCCGGCCUGAGAGGGCGGACGGACACACUGGGACUGAGACACGGCCCAG